CAUGGACUAUGAGAAACCUAUAGGAAAUGGGCACUCGAUUCAUGCACCCACCCAUGCACCACUCGAUCCACUGUGGAUCGAGAUACUACUGGGCACCUGCAUGUGGUCGCGCGUGCCCGCUCCCACAUUGGGCACAUCCCAUGUGUGUCGCCUGGGCCUGGGCCAUGCCUGUGCAUGCACGCACUUGGGCUUAGGCCAGCCAUCG
rnacentral:lncRNA from 1 species